GGCUGUAGUAGCUCAGUGGUAGAGCAUUUGCUUUGCUUGCAGAAGGUCUCAGGUUCAAUCACUAGGGGCAUCU